rnacentral:tRNA from 1 species
GGGUCGUUAGCUCAUGGUAGAGCAGUUGACUUUUAAUCAAUUGGUCGCAGGUUCGAAUCCUGCACGACCCACCA